UACGGGGGGGGCAAGCGUUGUUCGGAAUUACUGGGCGUAAAGGGCUCGUAGGCGGCCAACUAAGUCAGACGUGAAAUCCCUCGGCUUAACCGGGGAACUGCGUCUGAUACUGGAUGGCUUGAGUUUGGGAGAGGGAUGCGGAAUUCCAGGUGUAGCGGUGAGAUGCGUAGAUAUCUGGAGGAACACCGGUGGCGAAGGCGGCCUUCUGGACAGUGACUGACGCUGAGACGCGAAAGCGUGGGGAGCAAACAGG
rnacentral:rRNA from 1 species